GGCGUGGAUUAGGCAUGCAAGUCGAGCGAGAAGUCCUUGAACGAUCCUUCGGGUGAGUGAGAGGAUGGAAAGCGGCGAACGGCGUAGUAAUGGAUAGGUAACGUGCCCUCAGGACGGGAAUAGCCACGGGAAACUGUGGGUAAUGCCCGAUAAUGUCUCAGGACCAAAUGGUGUGAUUCCGCCUGAGGAGCGGCUUAUUCGGUAUUAGCUUGUUGGUGGGGUAACGGCCUACCAAGGCUUUGAUGCUUAGGGGGUGUGAGAGCAUGGCCCCCACGACCGGGACUGAGACACUGCCCGGACAUCUACGGAUGGCUGCAGUCGAGAAUCUUCCGCAAUGGACGCAAGUCCGACGGAGCGACGCCGCGUGUGGGACGAAGGCCCUUGGGUUGUAAACCACUGUCAGAAGGGAUGAAAUUGUUGAGGGCUAUCCCUCUUCAUUGACAGAGCCUCAGAGGAAGCACGGGCUAAGUACGUGCCAGCAGCCGCGGUAACACGUACUGUGCGAACGUUAUUCGGAAUCACUGGCUUAAAGGGUGCGUAGGCGGCUUUAUAAGUCAGGUGUGAAAUCCCACGGCUCAACCGUGGAACUGCGCUUGAAACUAUUUAGCUUGAGUAUCUCAGGGGUGUGCGGAACUUCCAGUGGAGCGGUGAAAUGUGUUGACAUUGGAAGGAGCACCGGUAGCGAAAGCGGCACACUGGGGGAUGUCUGACGCUGAGGCACGAAAGCCAGGGGAGCGAACAGGAUUAGAUACCCUGGUAGUCCUGGCUGUAAACGAUGAGCACUAGAUGGGAGGGGACUUGCCCCGUCCGGUCGCAGCGAAAGCAUUAAGUGCUCCGCCUGGGGAGUAUGGUCGCAAGGCAA
rnacentral:rRNA from 1 species